AGCAGCCGCGGUAAUUCCAGCUCCAAUAGCGUAUAUUAAAGUUGUUGCAGUUAAAAAGCUCGUAGUUGAAUUUCGGGAUCAAUAUGUUGGUCGUGCCUUGGUACGUACUAAUUUAUUGGUUUCUUCCUUCUGACGAACCAUGAUGUCGUUAAUUUGGUGUUAUGGGGAAUCAGAACUGUUACUUUGAAAAAAUUAGAGUGUUUAAAGCAGGCUCACGCUUGAAUACAUUAGCAUGGAAUAAUGAAAUAGGACGUUUGAUUCUAUUUUGUUGGUUUCUAGGAUCGACGUAAUGAUUAAUAGGGAUAGUUGGGGGCAUUAGUAUUCAAUUGUCAGAGGUGAAAUUCUUGGAUUUAUUGAAGACUAACUACUGCGAAAGCAUUUGCCAAGGAUGUUUUCAUUAAUCAAGAACGAAAGUUAGGGGAUCGAAGACGAUCAGAUACCGUCGUAGUCUUAACCAUAAACUAUGCCGACUAGGGAUCGGAUGAUGUUAAUUUUUUAAUGUACUCAUUCGGCGCCUUAC
rnacentral:rRNA from 1 species